CCGGCGCACGGGUGAGUAACACGUAUGGAACCUGCCCUAUGCAGGGGGAUAAGCGGAAGAAAUUCCGUCUAAUACCGCAUAACACCUUUAGGAGACAUCUUCUUGGGGUCAAAGGAGGCGACUCCGGCAUAGGAUGGCCAUGCGUCGCAUUAGCUAGUCGGCGGGGUAACGGCCCACCGAGGCGACGAUGCGUAGGGGUUCUGAGAGGAAGGUCCCCCACACUGGUACUGAGACACGGACCAGACUCCUACGGGAGGCAGCAG
rnacentral:rRNA from 1 species